rnacentral:rRNA from 1 species
ARGAUCAUUGCACACACAAAGUUGCAGCAAACCCCCUUUGCGAAUCUCAUGAAUGUCCCCCCCUUGUGUUUUGGGGGGCCUGGGGCAUCGUUGUCACUACUCUUGCGGUGGUGGUGGUGGUGGUCCCGGCCUGCCAAACACAUCCAAGUCCCCCCAUUACAAUGGGAGGCUUGGGCUUCCUCCCUAAACCGGGUAGGCGGCCCCUUGCCUCCCCUGGGAGGACUCGGUAACCAACCGAUUGCGCAAUGCAUCAACACUUUCAAUAUGACUGAGCAUGGAAAUCGGGACACUGCCGCUUGCAAAGGCGGUGGCGUCCCCGAGUUGUGAUAAAAACAAAAACAACUCUCAGCAACGGAUAUCUUGGCUCUUGCAACGAUGAAGAACGCAGCGAAAUGCGAUACGUAGUGUGAAUUGCAGAAUUCCGCGAAUCAUCGAGUCUUUGAACGCAAGUUGCGCCCGAGGCUUGACCAAGGGCAUCUCUGCCAGAGCGUCACCGCGACACCCACCAGUCCACUUUUAAGUGGAUUGAGUGAAACUGGCCAUCCGAAUGUGGCCAUCCCGGGGGGUAGGGAACACCUCCUUUCUUGGUGGCAGAUUGGGUUGGCUGAAAUGGAGGGAAUUUGGCCGCCGUGGUGACACAGCCCGCGAUCAGGUGAUCCAGGGGGGGCCCCCGCUUGCAAAGGUGGUGGGUGUCCUGGAACUCAAACGUGCGUUGGUUGGUGCUGCCCAGUCAGGAAUUCCAAAGCAGGUCCCUCGCGACACUCGGUCCCUUCUACYSGSGACUAGUCMCGGAGGGGACC